AGGACGAACGCUGGCGGCGUGCUUAACACAUGCAAGUCGAGCGGAAAGGCCCUUCGGGGUACUCGAGCGGCGAACGGGUGAGUAACACGUGAGCAACCUGCCCUUAGCUUCGGGAUAGCUCCGGGAAACCGGAAUUAAUACCGAAUAUGACCAUGGCCGGAAUCGGCCAUGGUGGAAAGUUUUUCGGCUAGGGAUGGACUCGCGGCCUAUCAGCUAGUUGGUGAGGUAACGGCCCACCAAGGCGACGACGGGUA
rnacentral:rRNA from 1 species